rfam:Clostridium perfringens str. 13 DNA, complete genome.
GACCAAAGUAGAGGUGCCGUAAUUAAGAGUAGUCAUAAGUAGCUGACAAGUGUUUUAUGUAUGAUGAAAGGGAUUAUGGCCGAAGAGAUAUUAAUGGUGAUUAAUAUUUCUGGGUAUAUGUAUAAUAUGCAUAUAACUGUCACUUUGAAAAAAGUGGAGUGCUACAAGGUAC